rnacentral:misc_RNA from 1 species
AGUCGUAACAAGGUCUCCGUAGGUGAACCUGCGGAGGGAUCAUUUACCAAAAAUCCUUUCCCUCCGAAAGGAGGGAAAUCAACUGUGAUUCUGCCUUAAAUCGGAUGCCUAGUGGCGGCCUCUCCGUGCUACUUGGACUUUUCGAAGUCAGGGUAGUGGCGCCCAAUGCCACCUUUUUCAAACAUUUUUUUUUUAAUCGAAACCGGGCGGUGGGUAAUUCCCCGCCUUUGAAAACAAAACAACCGUUACUGAUGGAUGACUCGGCUCC